rnacentral:rRNA from 1 species
AUGACUCGAUUACAGAAAGGUAUACGAAAUCCUAAAAUAAGAAAAGAUGGGACUAUACCAUAUGGAAUGUUGUGUAUUUCAGGAGAACCAACAACAUUGAAUAGUGCACUUGAUGAUCCUAAGUGGAAGAAGGCAAUGGAUGAGGAAUAUUCUGCACUUAUGAGGAACAAGACAUGGCAUCUUGUACCAAAUCAGAAAGGUAAAAAUAUCAUCGAUUGCAAAUGGGUUUACAGAAUUAAAAAGAAGGCAGAUGGCUCCAUUGACAGGUACAAAGCACGCCUCGUUGCAAAGGGUUUUAAACAACGUUAUGGUAUUGAUUAUGAGGACACUUUCAGUCCUGUUGUUAAAGCUGCAACUAUCAGACUUGUGCUAGCCAUUGCUGUAUCCAAGGGUUGGAGUCUACGACAGCUAGAUGUACAGAAUGCAUUUUUGCAUGGCAUUCUAGAAGAGGAAGUGUUUAUGAGACAACCACCUGGUUAUGAGGACAAGAAGUCACCACAUUAUGUUUGCAAGCUUGACAAGGCACUCUAUGGUUUAAAACAAGCACCCAGAGCAUGGUACUCCAGAUUGAGCUUACAGUUGAAAUAUCUUGGUUUCAUUGCCUCCAAAGCUGAUACAUCAUUGUUUAUUUAUAACAAGGCUGGAGUAGUCAUUUUUGUGCUUAUAUAUGUUGAUGAUAUCAUCGUUGCAAGUUCUUCACAAAAUGCUACUGAUGCACUUCUGCAUGAUUUGAGCUCAGAGUUUGCCUUGAAAGACCUAGGUGAUUUGCAUUUCUUCCUAGGUAUUGAGGUCAAGAAAACUCAAGAUGUAAUUGUGUUAAAUCAGGAGAAAUAUAUCACUGAGCUUCUGUAUCGCAUGGGGAUGAAGAAUUGCAAGCCAGUUCCUACACCUUUGUCUUCCUCAGAAAAACUUUCAGCAUAUGAAGGUGUGCCACUUCAGGAGGAGGAAAGUACAAGGUAUAGGAGUACUGUGGGAGCAUUACAAUAUUUAACUCUCACACGUCCAGAUAUCUCAUUUGCUGUCAACAAGGUUUGUCAAUAUCUGCAUGCACCUACUUCUGCACAUUGGUCAGCUGUCAAGAGAAUUGUAAGAUAUGUAAAGCAUACUAUGGGAAUAGGACUUCAUUUCACACGGUCUAAUUCCUCUCUUGUGAGUGCAUUCUCUGAUGCUGACUGGGCAGGAUGCAGUGAUGACAGAAGAUCAACUGGAGGCUUUGCAGUAUUUUUUGGGUCUAACCUUAUUUCUUGGAGUGCCAGAAAGCAAGCCACCGUGUCACGGUCAAGCACAGAAGCUGAAUAUAAGUCCUUGGCAAAUGCAACUGCAGAAAUCAUUUGGGUUGAGUCACUUCUUGAGGAAUUGGGAAUCAAGAAGAAUCGUAUCUCAUGUUUAUGGUGUGAUAACUUGGGGGCAACAUAUUUGUCCACAAAUCAUGUGUUUCAUGCAAGGACAAAGCACAUCGAAAUUGAUUUUCACUUUGUGCGAGAAAGGGUUGCAGCCAAGAAACUCGAGAUACGGUUUAUUCCCUCCAAGGAUCAAGUAGCAGACGGUUUUACAAAGGCAUUGCCAUCAAGACCAUUUGAGGAGUUCAAGAGUAAUCUUAAUCUAGGGUAG